UGGGUAAUCUACCCUUGGAUUCAGGAUAACACUUCGAAAGGGGUGCUAAUACUGGAUAACAUCCUGAUGGUUUCGGCCAUAAGGAUCAAAGAUAGCCUCUACAUGUAAGCUAUUGUACAGGGAUGAGCCCCCGUACCAUUAGCUAGUUGGUGGGGUAAGAGCCUACCAAGGCAACGAUGGUUAGCUGGUCUGAGAGGAUGAUCAGCCACACUGGAACUGAAACACGGUCCAGACUCCUACGGGAGGCAGCAGUGAGGAAUUUUGCGCAAUGGGGGAAACCCUGACGCAGCAACGCCGCGUGAGUGAAGAAGGCUUUCGGGUCGUAAAGCUCUGUCAAGAGGGAAGAAAGUGGAAGGUGGUAAUACUGUUUU
rnacentral:rRNA from 1 species